CAAAGAGAUCCCUUUGCUGUCUGGGCUUCUCAAAUUCCCAGCAAAACAUCUGAAAAAAAAAUAAAAUAAAGAGAGAGAGUGAAGCCUUCCUGCCAAUUGCAUUAAGUAGCCAAAGGAUCACUCCAUUAAGGGAAAAAUGCUGGAAAUGUCAUCCAUCUACCCUUACGGAUGCAAGAGUAAGGUCGUUGGAUCCACAGAGCAAGAUGAUGAUGUGUGUUUGGAGUCUCUUGAGAUGCUUGUCAUGUGAAAAUACACUUAGCAAAAUGCCUCACACUGAACAAGAGGAAAAGCAAGCUGCUUUCUUUGGACAGCAGAUAUGACCUGGAUGAGGAACCUUUGCAUUGCGUUCUCCAUCUCCAUUUUCCUCCUCACGUUGGCUGGGUUGGUGGGUGGGCAGUGAUGAGCAUGCCAAAACAGCCACUGUGAUCCCAUUCUCCACCAUUUCCAGCUAUUCCUAAGUAGUUUCCUAGAACUGCCUGAGCAGAG
rnacentral:lncRNA from 1 species